rnacentral:rRNA from 1 species
ACAACUUUAAGCAACGGAUCUCUUGGCUCUCGCAUCGAUGAAGAACGCAGCGAAAUGCGAUAAGUAAUGUGAAUUGCAGAAUUCAGUGAAUCAUCGAAUCUUUGAACGCACCUUGCGCUCUUUGGUAUUCCGAAGAGCAUGCCUGUUCGAGU